AUGCUAAAUCAAGUUCUGAAAUGGCCAUUGCAUAGUGACUUUGGAUGCAUUGUUUCUGGCUUGCCAGAUCGAAACCAGAGGAUGCUAGUGGAUAUUAUAGAUACACAAAGGGUUAUGGAAGUUAUAUUUAUGCUCCUAUUGGACAGGAUCGGAACAUAUAUGACGGUUAUCUGGGGUGUGCACUUUACUGGCAGCUUCAGUGAACAAUGUCUACUAGCUGCUGCUUGA